UACGUAGGGUGCAAGCGUUAAUCGGAAUUACUGGGCGUAAAGCGUGCGCAGGCGGUUAUGCAAGACAGAUGUGAAAUCCCCCGGCUCGACCGGGGAACGGCUGGGUAUACUGGCGAUCUUGAGCCACCUAGGGGCAGUCGGAACAAGCGGUGGAGCGGUGAAAUGCGUAGAUAUCGCUUGGAACGCCGAAGGUGAAAACAGGUUGCUGGGGUUGUGCCGACGCUGAGACACGAAAGCCAGGGGAGCGAACGGG
rnacentral:rRNA from 1 species